rnacentral:rRNA from 1 species
UACGUAGGGUGCAGGCGUUAAUCGGAAUUACUGGGCGUAAAGCGUGCGCAGGCGGUUUCUUAAGUCGGAUGUGAAAGCCCCUGGCUCAACUGGGGAAGUGCACCCGAAACUGAGUAGCUAGAGUGCAAAAGAGGGUCGCGGAAUUCCCGGUGUAGAGGUGAAAUUCGUAGAUAUCGGGAGGAACACCGGUGGCGAAGGCGGCGACCUGGGUUGACACUGACGCUGAGGCGCGAAAGCGUGGGGAGCAAACAGG